CCCUUAGAUGUUCUGGGCCGCACGCGCGCUACACUGAUACGCUCAUCAAGCUUACAACCUUGACCGAGAGGUCUGGGUAAUCUUUGAAAUCGUAUCGUGCUGGGGAUAGAUUAUUGUAAUUUUUAAUCUUGAACGAGGAAUUCCUAGUAAACGCAGAUCAUCAAUCUGCAUUGAUUACGUCCCUGCCCUUUGUACACACCGCCCGUCGCACCUACCGAUUGGAUGGUCCGGUGAAGCCUCGGGAUUGUGGCGGUUGCCUUUAUUGGUGGCCGCCGCGAGAACUUGUCUAAACCUUAUCAUCUAGAGGAAGGUGAAGUCGUAACA
rnacentral:rRNA from 1 species